UCGAACGCGAAAGUGGAGCAUCCAUGAGUAGAGUGGCAAACGGGUGAGUAGCGCGUGGGCGACCUACCUUCGAGUGGGGGAUAACUUUCCGAAAGGAAGGCUAAUACCGCAUGACAUUCCGUGUUUGGAGACAUGGAAAUCAAAGCCGGGGAUCGCAAGACCUGGCGCUUGGAGAGGGGCCCGCGUCCGAUUAGCUAGUUGGUGAGGUAACGGCUCACCAAGGCUCCGAUCGGUAUCCGGCCUGAGAGGGCGGACGGACACACUGGAACUGAGACACGGUCCAGACUCCUACGGGAGGCAGCAGUGGGGAAUUGUUCGCAAUGGGCGCAAGCCUGACGACGCAACGCCGCGUGGAGGAUGAAGACCUUCGGGUCGUAAACUCCUUUCGACCGAGAUGAACACCUGCGGGGAUAAUACUCCCGCAGGCUGACAGUAUCGAGGGAAGCAGCCCCGGCUAACUCCGUGCCAGCAGCCGCGGUAAUACGGGGGGGGCAAGCGUUGUUCGGAAUUACUGGGCGUAAAGGGUUCGUAGGUGGUCAACUAAGUCAGACGUGAAAUCCCUCAGCUUAACUGGGGAACUGCGUCUGAUACUGGUCGGCUUGAGUGCAGGAGAGGAACGCGGAACUCCAGGUGUAGCGGUGAAAUGCGUAGAUAUCUGGAGGAACACCGGUGGCGAGGGCGGCGUUCUGGACUGCAACUGACACUGAUGAACGAAAGCCAGGGGAGCAAACGGGAUUAGAU
rnacentral:rRNA from 1 species